UCCUUUUAUUGUUCUUAAAAGGUAGGGAGAAUUGUCAAACACAUCAUUUUAUGACUAGUACACUGCUCCGUUUUUUAUUUACCCGUUAAUAUAGGGUCCGUGAAUUUACCGUACGUACGAAACCGACUUUCAGUCAUGAAUUUUACCUUGACAUCUUCACGUCAAUAAAUGUUAAAUUUAAAUGUAAAGACGCGAAUAGCAAACAUUUAAGUUUGAUUAUAAAAUAAGGAAUAUUUCAAGGAUGAUGUGAGAUUUAACCAGACGAUAGAUAUUUUAUCAUGUACCAGUGGCUGAAGGUGAACGAUAUUCAAAUAUCAAAGUUGCAGUUUUCGGAUGUUCAGUAUCCGGAUAUAUGUUAAAUUAUGUGAUGAAUAAAGUGUGACAUAUAUGAGAUAAGUGGUUGCUAUAUACUUAUAAAAACAGAUGUAAAAUAAUUUGAAUUUCAAGCAGUGAAAAUGGACACUUGAUGGUUUUGGACAAGGAGGUGUAGAUUAUAUCUGGAGUUUGUUAUAUAAAACUUAUAAUCCACUAAUUAAAUCCAUUCCACAUGUACUAUAAGGAAUUAUAUAGACUAAUACUGACUAAAGUGUACAAGUAUAGGUCCAGAUGGACCCACAAAAUGAAAUCCCUAGUUUCGAAAUUUGACAUUCAUUGAAAGAUUGUAACAAUUGAAACCAAAAAGUAUAGCAAUAUGUCGGAUCAGAGGUGACACUAUACAAACAUUUGAAAUUGUUUAACAAGUCAAAAACAACUGUAAAUUUUAACAAUUCUUCAGUUACACCUAUUCAACAAGGGAACUUAAUUUAAACUUUACAUAGCAUUGUGCAGAAUGAUAUUUUCUGAAGAGAAGUAAUUAAUACAUGGAACUAUUCUUCAACAUGUUGAUGCUAAGAAUCAAUGUAACAGAGUUGUGUCAAGCAUUUGUGACAAAUUUUGUCUAAUGAACUGGAGAACCCAUUUAACUAGAUCUCUGCAGAAAGGACAACAGCAUAAAAACUAGCAAUCUAACAUUUGAAGGCUGUAGAAAUCUACAUGUAUGUGCCAAACAAUUUCUAGAGGAAGCAGAGCUUAAAUAUGUAUCUUACAGGUGGGAAGAUUUAAGAAGGUAUUGUGUAUUGCCAAACUUCCCAUAUUUCAUCUAUUGCAGUGCUUAAAUGUUUAAUUCCGGUUUGACAGAGGAUGCCAUAUUCAUUUGGCUGCUUCAAGACAAAGAAGAUGCACCAGAACAUUCAUUUGAACAGUUAUAAAAUCAUGGAUCAUGUUAUGACUAAUCACUAACAUCUUAUGUUAUACAUAAUGUCAAAGUUGAAUAUAUUUGGUGAAGAUUGACAAUAAUAUACAUAUUUUAUAUAAAUCACCAAUAUAAAUGAAGUGACACUUUAUCUGGAUAUUCGACAUUGAUUAUUUAAUUAUUUGUCUGUAACAAUAUAAAAGAUUUAGUAAUGUUUCAUAUAAUAAAAAAGUAAGCCUGA